CGUCUAGAGGCCCAGGACACCGCCCUUUCACGGCGGUAACAGGGGUUCGAAUCCCCUAGGGGACGCCACUUGCUGGUUUGUGAGUGAAAGUCACCUGCCUUAAUAUCUCAAAACUCAUCUUCGGGUGAUGUUUGAGAUAUUUGCUCUUUAAAAAUCUGGAUCAAGCUGAAAAUUGAAACACUGAACAACGAAAGUUGUUCGUGAGUCUCUCAAAUUUUCGCAACACGAUGAUGAAUCGWAAGAAACAUCUUCGGGUUGUGAGCAGCCCAGAGCCUGAAUCAGUGUGUGUGUUAGUGGAAGCGUCUGGAAAGGCGCGCGAUACAGGGUGACAGCCCCGUACACAAAAAUGCACAUGCUGUGAGCUCGAUGAGUAGGGCGGGACACGUGGUAUCCUGUCUGAAUAUGGGGGGACCAUCCUCCAAGGCUAAAUACUCCUGACUGACCGAUAGUGAACCAGUACCGUGAGGGAAAGGCGAAAAGAACCCCGGCGAGGGGAGUGAAAAAGAACCUGAAACCGUGUACGUACAAGCAGUGGGAGCACGCUUMGGCGUGUGACUGCGUACCUUUUGUAUAAUGGGUCAGCGACUUAUAUUCUGUAGCAAGGUUAACCGAAUAGGGGAGCCGAAGGGAAACCGAGUCUUAACUGGGCGUUAAGUUGCAGGGUAUAGACCCGAAACCCGGUGAUCUAGCCAUGGGCAGGUUGAAGGUUGGGUAACACUAACUGGAGGACCGAACCGACUAAUGUUGAAAAAUUAGCGGAUGACUUGUGGCUGGGGGUGAAAGGCCAAUCAAACCGGGAGAUAGCUGGUUCUCCCCGAAAGCUAUUUAGGUAGCGCCUCGUGAAUUCAUCUCCGGGGGUAGAGCACUGUUUCGGCAAGGGGGUCAUCCCGACUUACCAACCCGAUGCAAACUGCGAAUACCGGAGAAUGUUAUCACGGGAGACACACGGCGGGUGCUAACGUCCGUCGUGAAGAGGGAAACAACCCAGACCGCCAGCUAAGGUCCCAAAGUCAUGGUUAAGUGGGAAACGAUGUGGGAAGGCCCAGACAGCCAGGAUGUUGGCUUAGAAGCAGCCAUCAUUUAAAGAAAGCGUAAUAGCUCACUGGUCGAGUCGGCCUGCGCGGAAGAUGUAACGGGGCUAAACCAUGCACCGAAGCUGCGGCAGCGACACUAUGUGUUGUUGGGUAGGGGAGCGUUCUGUAAGCCUGUGAAGGUGUGCUGUGAGGCAUGCUGGAGGUAUCAGAAGUGCGAAUGCUGACAUAAGUAACGAUAAAGCGGGUGAAAAGCCCGCUCGCCGGAAGACCAAGGGUUCCUGUCCAACGUUAAUCGGGGCAGGGUGAGUCGACCCCUAAGGCGAGGCCGAAAGGCGUAGUCGAUGGGAAACAGGUUAAUAUUCCUGUACUUGGUGUUACUGCGAAGGGGGGACGGAGAAGGCUAUGUUGGCCGGGCGACGGUUGUCCCGGUUUAAGCGUGUAGGCUGGUUUUCCAGGCAAAUCCGGAAAAUCAAGGCUGAGGCGUGAUGACGAGGCACUACGGUGCUGAAGCAACAAAUGCCCUGCUUCCAGGAAAAGCCUCUAAGCAUCAGGUAACAUCAAAUCGUACCCCAAACCGACACAGGUGGUCAGGUAGAGAAUACCAAGGCGCUUGAGAGAACUCGGGUGAAGGAACUAGGCAAAAUGGUGCCGUAACUUCGGGAGAAGGCACGCUGAUAUGUAGGUGAAGCGACUUGCUCGUGGAGCUGAAAUCAGUCGAAGAUACCAGCUGGCUGCAACUGUUUAUUAAAAACACAGCACUGUGCAAACACGAAAGUGGACGUAUACGGUGUGACGCCUGCCCGGUGCCGGAAGGUUAAUUGAUGGGGUUAGCGCAAGCGAAGCUCUUGAUCGAAGCCCCGGUAAACGGCGGCCGUAACUAUAACGGUCCUAAGGUAGCGAAAUUCCUUGUCGGGUAAGUUCCGACCUGCACGAAUGGCGUAAUGAUGGCCAGGCUGUCUCCACCCGAGACUCAGUGAAAUUGAACUCGCUGUGAAGAUGCAGUGUACCCGCGGCAAGACGGAAAGACCCCGUGAACCUUUACUAUAGCUUGACACUGAACAUUGAGCCUUGAUGUGUAGGAUAGGUGGGAGGCUUUGAAGUGUGGACGCCAGUCUGCAUGGAGCCGACCUUGAAAUACCACCCUUUAAUGUUUGAUGUUCUAACGUUGACCCGUAAUCCGGGUUGCGGACAGUGUCUGGUGGGUAGUUUGACUGGGGCGGUCUCCUCCUAAAGAGUAACGGAGGAGCACGAAGGUUGGCUAAUCCUGGUCGGACAUCAGGAGGUUAGUGCAAUGGCAUAAGCCAGCUUGACUGCGAGCGUGACGGCGCGAGCAGGUGCGAAAGCAGGUCAUAGUGAUCCGGUGGUUCUGAAUGGAAGGGCCAUCGCUCAACGGAUAAAAGGUACUCCGGGGAUAACAGGCUGAUACCGCCCAAGAGUUCAUAUCGACGGCGGUGUUUGGCACCUCGAUGUCGGCUCAUCACAUCCUGGGGCUGAAGUAGGUCCCAAGGGUAUGGCUGUUCGCCAUUUAAAGUGGUACGCGAGCUGGGUUUAGAACGUCGUGAGACAGUUCGGUCCCUAUCUGCCGUGGGCGCUGGAGAACUGAGGGGGGCUGCUCCUAGUACGAGAGGACCGGAGUGGACGCAUCACUGGUGUUCGGGUUGUCAUGCCAAUGGCACUGCCCGGUAGCUAAAUGCGGAAGAGAUAAGUGCUGAAAGCAUCUAAGCACGAAACUUGCCCCGAGAUGAGUUCUCCCUGACYCCUURAGAGUCCUGAAGGAACGUUGAAGACGACGACGUUGAUAGGCCGGGUGUGUAAGCGCAGCGAUGCGUUGAGCUAACCGGUACUAAUGAACCGUGAGGCUUAACCUU
rnacentral:rRNA from 1 species